rnacentral:rRNA from 1 species
AUUGAACGCUGGCGGCAGGCCUAACACAUGCAAGUCGAGCGGAUGAAGGGAGCUUGCUCCUGGAUUCAGCGGCGGACGGGUGAGUAAUGCCUAGGAAUCUGCCUGGUAGUGGGGGAUAACGUCCGGAAACGGGCGCGAAUACCGCAUACGUCCUGAGGGAGAAAGGGGGGGAUCUUCGGACCUCAAGCUAUCAGAUGAGCCUAGGUCGGAUUAGCUAGUUGGUGGGGUAAAGGCCUACCAAGGCGACGAUCCGUAACUGGUCUGAGAGGAUGAUCAGUCACACUGGAACUGAGACACGGUCCAGACUCCUACGGGAGGCAGCAGUGGGGAAUAUUGGACAAUGGGCGAAAGCCUGAUCCAGCCAUGCCGCGUGUGUGAAGAAGGUCUUCGGAUUGUAAAGCUCUUUAAGUUGGGAGGAAGGGCAGUAAGUUAAUCCCUUGCUGUUUUGACGUUACCAACAGAAUAAGCACCGGCUAACUUCGUG